CUUAUAGAUUUAUCUUCAUUUGUAAUUUGCAUGCGUUUUAUAUUUGUUAUUUUAUAGAUUUCUGCAUGAUGAGGCGGUGCAUGCCAACAAAUUCAUAAACAAUAUUACUCCAGAUUGCAUCACGACAGAAUUGUCAAUGUUAGGCAUGGUCGGGCCUAUGGGAGGGAGUCUAUGGUCUACCUUCAACUUGUCAAAAUCUUCUGGUGUUUGGUGAAAAAAAGAGAAAUAAUGAAAAGACAAUUACCAGUCUGGAAUCUACACAACUUGCAAAUAUACAAGAAUAGGUAGAUUUUUUUUUUCUUCUUUUUCUAAUACAAGAAUAGGUAGAUUGUCAUGCACUUGGGGCAUCCUUGUAUGCAGCAUUUUUUGGUGCAUUCAGAUAUGUCAAUGAAAGAAAA